GACGAACGCUGGCGGCGUGCUUAACACAUGCAAGUCGAACGGAAAGGCCCUGCUUUUGUGGGGUGCUCGAGUGGCGAACGGGUGAGUAACACGUGAGUAACCUGCCCUUGACUUUGGGAUAACUUCAGGAAACUGGGGCUAAUACCGGAUAGGAGCUCCUGCUGCAUGGUGGGGGUUGGAAAGUUUCGGCGGUUGGGGAUGGACUCGCGGCUUAUCAGCUUGUUGGUGGGGUAGUGGCUUACCAAGGCUUUGACGGGUAGCCGGCCUGAGAGGGUGACCGGCCACAUUGGGACUGAGGUACGGCCCAGACUCCUACGGGAGGCAGCAGUGGGGAAUAUUGCACAAUGGGCGGAAGCCAGAUGCAGCAACGCCGCGUGCGGGAUGACGGCCUUCGGGUUGUAAACCGCUUUCGCCUGUGACGAAGCGUGAGUGACGGUAAUGGGUAAAGAAGCACCGGCUAACUACGUG
rnacentral:rRNA from 1 species